rnacentral:tRNA from 1 species
GACAAGAUGUCCGAGUGGUUAAGGAGAUAGACUUGAAACGAUCUUGAUAUCUAUUGGCUUCGGCCGCGUAGGUUCGAACCCUGCUCUUGUCG